UGCUGUCCCCAACGCCACGACCGCGCAGCUGAUUGACAGUGACGCGCGCCACUGGCGGUACACCAGCAUACUGCUGCUCCGGGACCACUACAAGGCUGCGGUGGACGAGAAGGUGGGUGCUCUCCUCCUCCUUCCAGACCCCAUCUGGCGCCCGAACUUCACCGUGGCCCUGGCCUGGGCUCAGCGCCACUUCGGCCAACGCCUGCGCCUGGAGACGGUGAGCGCGCUGCGCUCUCGCCUCAGAGAGGUUCUGGACGUUCCGGUCCCUCUGGUCCAGCUGUUCCCACAACCCGCCCCUGGAGCCGUGCUGCCACGCUUCACCCUACCUGCUGGACCACCGCCUCCUGCCCCCGGCCUCCGGUCCCCUGGACCCGGUCCGGAGGCCCUUGACGUGGGGGUAGGACCUGCUGAACGGCGCUCCCCGGCCAGGCUGCCGUCGCCUACCUUUUCGCUGGCCUUCUCCUCCUCUCCUUCUUCUCCGCCCCUGUGCCCCCCCAUCCCCCCCGCCUCCUCUUCCUCUCCCGUUCCCCUUACCCCCUCUCCUCCACGGCCUGCAGCCCCGGGAAUUCUCCAGAGCACCACACCGUUGGCUCAAAUGACCAGGCUCGCGUCCAGCCGCCUCCGCCGACGAGUCGCAGCCAUGCCCGCUCCCGGACCUUCCUCUUCUCCUCUUCCUCCCCCUCCUCCUCCUCCACCGCCCUCCGGCUCGACACCCCCGCAUGGGUUAGCCCGGGCCGACGCGGAGAGAAACGACAUGCUAGAAGCCAACCCCUUCUGGUCUGCCGCCCAACGGCGCAGGUCGGAGAGGAUUUGGAUUGACAGGCUGGGGACCAUGCAACCCCUUGGUUUGAACGUUGGGGUGGGUCGGGGACCCCUGGGGAGCCGCCUGAUGAUGGCCCGUGCCAGCGACGCCACCGUGGCGUCGUUAAUUGCUGACUGUCCUAACCCUAACCCUCUCCCUCACCUGACCCUAACCCUAACCCCGACCCUCUCCCGGUCCUAAACCUAACCCUUCCCACCCCUGACCCUAACCCCAACCCCCUCCCUUACCUAGCCCUUACCCUGACCCCGCCCCCUGCCCCUAAACCUAACCUCUCCCACCCCUGACCCUAACCCCAACCUCUCCCUUCCCUACCCCCCAAAGGCCCCCUUACAUGACCUCCACCCCAGCCCCCGGCCCCCCACAAAGGAUCCCCCUUUCUUAUUUUUCUUACCAUGUGUUUGUGUUUAUUCUGCCCCCCUGCCCCAGCCCCCCUUCGUCCCCCUAUUUUUUUAUUUUUCAUACAUUCCUAUUUACAAACAAUAUUACUUUUAAUAUGGUUUCCAAAUGCACCCUGUGUAAUUAUUCUAUUGAUGUCCUGUGCC
rnacentral:lncRNA from 1 species